UGGAGAGCAACGAUGGUGAGUUUUGAUUUGUAAUUGAUGGCGGUGGUGGAGAGUUGCUGAGCUAAUGUCGCUCAAACUCCAGCUUCGUGCCCUGAUCUUUGAGAACAUCAUCAUCGUCCGUGGUAGUUGGUGAGAGUGAUUUGCUAAUUGUUGGACCUGGUGUUCUUGGUCGCUUGGUAGCUCAACAAUGGAGUCAGGUUAAUUUCUUUCGUUUGGGAUUCUCGCCUUUAUGUUCUUGCC